rnacentral:rRNA from 1 species
UUUAAAGUCUAAUCUGCCCUAUGAGGUAUUAAAUGGCCGCGGUAUUUUGACCGUGCAAAGGUAGCAUAAUAAUUAGUUUUUUAAUUGAAAGCUGGUAUGAACGAUUGGACGAGAAAAUAGCUGUCUCAAUUUAAUUUUAUUAGAAAUUUAUUUUUAAGUAAGAAAGCUUAAAUUAAGUUAAAAGACGAGAAGACCCUAUAGAGUUUUAUAUUUAAUUAAUUAUUAGUUUUUUAGGAUGCUUUUAUUAUUAAUUAAUUAAUUAUUUUGUUGGGGCGAUAGAAAAAUAUAUAUAACUUUUUUUACUAGUAAACAUUAAUUUAUGAUUAAGUGAUCCAUUUUUUAUGAUUAUAAGAUUAAGUUACCUUAGGGAUAACAGCGUAAUUUUUUUUUAGAGUUCUUAUCGAAAAAAGGGAUUGCGACCUCGAUGUUGGAUUAAAAUUAAUGCUUGGUGUAGUAGCUUAGUAAUUAGGUCUGUUCGACCUUUAAAAUUUUACA